rnacentral:misc_RNA from 1 species
GUUUGAGGAGAAUGGUAAAAGAUUAUAAGUGUAAUGUAUAUACCUACGCCCAUAUUUAAUGUACAUUUUUAUUAAUAAAUAAUACUAUUUGUUAAUUGUAGUUAGGGUAAUUAUUAUUGAUUCAGAGUCAUAUAAUGUUAGUUGAAUUUAUAUUAGAAAAAGACUAAGCAAAAUUUAUUACUUCUAGAAUAUUAAGAUCCCGUUUAGCAUUGAACUUCAGAGGCUAAGAAAUCACGUUUAAAAAAGGUAUAUUUAGAUGCAUUUGUAAAAGAAAAAGUCUGAAAAAGUUUGUCAAGUUGUUUUAGAUUUUUUAUGACUAAAACAUGUCAAA